GCCAAUGUGGCUUAGUGGUUUGAGUGUUGGACUCACUAUGGAGAUCAGGGUUCAAUUCCCUGCUCAGCCA